UCCUUUCCACGUGCUGAGCUCCCCUUUCCUUCUUCCUUUUCCCCCUCUCUAGUUGUUGUUCCCAUCUCCGUCUCUUCCCCGCACUUCCAGUACCAAAAACUCCAGCUACAGCUAGCCCUCCUCUCCUUUCUUAUACCUUAUUCUUUCUUUGCUGCAGAAAUUCAGCAGUAGCAAACCUUCUUCCUUUCUUGUUCUUCUACUCCCAACACCAGCAAAUCAGCAAGAGCAAGAGCUCAGCCGUCAACAACAAGCCAUCAACAGCAGCUCUUUCCUCCUCCUCCUUCCAGCAUAAAAACUCUUAUAAUCUUGCUGUUUUUCCAACAAGAAGGCCAGCCACCAAGUUCCAAGCAGUCAUCUUGCUGUUUUACCAGCAAGAAGCCCAGCUGAAGCAACAACAGCCCGCUCUCCUUCCUAUUUCCAGCAAGGACAAGCAGUUUCCUUCCCUGUUCCUUUUUUCCAGCAAGCCACAGCAGCAAAGAUCAGCCUCUUUUGUUCCCUGUACUUCGGCCAAGAAGCGGUGAACAGUAGACUACCGAUGAAUUGAUGAGGUUGAUUGGAAUAAAACUUUGACUAGGGAAUGCAGUAAAAAGAAACGGAGGAAGAAGAUCAUCAGUAAGUGCGAGGGUCCUUGGCGUAACUAUUCUGACGAUUAAAUUAGAAUACUAAGAAAAAGAAGAAUUGUGGAGUAAAUCGAAAAAAGACAGUGGAUUCGCAUUUCUAUGCCAGCAGAGAGGGAUCCUUUUUAUAAUAUCUUUUGUGAUUUUUACCAUUAAUGAGGUAUCACAUUGUUGCUAGAUAACUUGUCUAAUUGUCAUGUUUCUACCGUAUCUUGUAGUCUAAUCGUAGGUAUGGGGGAUAUUGCGUAUCUGUGCAAAGAUAUAAUCAUCUAAUUCUCUAACAAAUUCACGUGUUGUAUUAAUUGAGAAGCAAACUCAUGGACCAGAAGGCCUAUUAGGCUUCCAGUCAGAAGAUGAGCCUGAGAAUAGGGAAUCUAUUUCUCAUGGGGAGUGACUGGGCCAUGAUAGCAUCUCAAUGGAAGCUGAAGCCCUGAGAGUAUGUCUGAUCAGUAUUAGCCGAUCAAGAUGAAAUGAUGAGCAGAGUCCCGUGAGGGAGUUGGACCCCUGAGAGUGUCCGAUCGACAUUAGCUGAUCGGGAAGAGCCUCCGACUGAGUGGGGAGCUGGAUCCCUAAGAAUACGUCUGAUCAACAUUAGUCGAUCGAGAUGAGAUGGGGAACAAUGCUCCGUAAGUAUUUGACUGAGUGGGAAGCUGGACCCCUCGGGUGCCCGAUCGGCCUUGGCCAAUCGACGUGGGGAGAUCUCAUCGGGCAGGUUACUCGAGCUUUGACCUAUCUUGGACUUAUACUGCCACUUACUUCGGUCUGUUAACCUUCAGAUCCCACUUGGGGGUUAUUCUUGAUUUAUUGUAUCACAAGUCACCCCUUCAAGGAGGUCUCAGACCGACUGACUAGACCCCUUCUGGCUUAGUUUUUUUAUUAGUUCCCUUGUCUCGAUAGACAUCACUCUGCUAUGCUUACCGUUGAUGUUAUCCAUCUCGAAAAGGGGCAUGUCAGAUGUCAUAACUGCACAGUAAUGUGUGGCGAUAUGCGUGAUGACAUAUCAUGAUAAUGAUUUACCAAUCACAUCCAUGAUAAAUGUCCUUUUCUAUAGUGUCGCAACGUGAUCAACCUAUGUCGGGUUUUUAAUUUCCAAAGGGACGUAUGACGAUUAGGCUAUUGGUGUUUUUCGACUCUUUGAUCGGACAAAUAUGGUAAUUAGCUUGCCUUUUGUCCUUGGGAUCGAACGGCUUGUGCUUCGACCCUUAGGGUUUAUAAGAUCCACUGCCUUAGGGUUUUUGCGCACGCGUUCUUCUUCCUUUCCAGCGCUCGCCAUUCAUAGUUUCUGGCAAUUCCCUCCUUGAGUUUUGACUCUCUCCCUCAUCUGCAAGUUUCUCAACACUUCGUGGCUUUUUUCGAACCAUUGCCUUUGACGCCCCCUUGGGUAUUCCCACUCUGUGGUAUAUCUCCGCCUCUUUGAUUUUAACGACGGAGAGGUGGACCAGAUCUGGUUUACUUUUGAGAUUCGCUAGGGUUUUCACAUCAUCAUCCCAACACUAUUGAUCGUCACCAUCUUCCUCUCCUUGGUUGUAUCACAUUUUUCAAGGAUCAGUGCUUGGGAGGUCUUUGCCUCCCCAUUCCCAAUUUCUUUUCGGAAAUAUCUCAAUAUUUCUAUACUCCCCUUCAACAGUUAGCCUGAAAUUCAAUUUGAUUGUUGUACAGGGUUGUCAUCCUUUUUCGAUUAUACCGCAUCUUUUUGACUCCCCGUGUCUUUCAUUAUUUUUAUUAUCCAAAAAAAUAGGAGGCGGGGAUUUUCUUCUAUAAGCUCGACUGAAGGCUAUCAUUUUCGACAAGAUGCCUUCUUCUAGUGAGGAAUGGAAGUCUCGUUAUUUUUUCGUCCGACCGAACUUGCCUGUAUCUUGGUCAAUCGACUGGCAAAUGGAUCUGCCUCUGGAAUUGGACGACUGCCGUUGGGAGCCUACUUUUGUCUUAGCGUCGGAAACACUGAUCGGCCUGAAGUUCAACAUCCACAAACUGCUCUAAGAGGGUAUUCUUUAUAUUUUUGAGCUGAGUCCAAUCAAGGUCGGAUUGCCCUUCAGCUUUUGUAAGGAACUCAGUUUUACUCUUAUAUUAUAGCUAACUGAGAUCUUUUCUCCUUUUUACAACUAGGACCAUAUGGAAAGCCUCCAUGGCUGAGAUUUUAAAGCUCGAUGAGGCCGAGUUGAGUUAGCGUGAGAAAGCCGAGAUGGAAAAGCACGACCCUCAACCGCUCGCCUCUAUCAAUGAGGUUAAUGUUAGUGAGGCGGCGACCAGCGGGACAAGGGGCAGUGAUGCAGCGGCAAGCACAAGGGAUCUGCCACCACCCAGGCCUUCAAUAGUGUUUGUGUUGGUAUCUUCGGAGUCUACUGAAUCCGAUGAGCCCCUCAGGAUUCGACGCAAUAGAUGGCAAUCGGUGACCCCCUCUACCCAGGCUCCCUCACAUGUCCCCUCGACACGCCCACAAUCCACUCAAAGAGAAACCUCAACACCCGCUCUAGCAGAGCAGUAGGCAAGCAACCUAGGCCUGCCCCCGAUCGAUCCCUUCGGCAGCUAGCUUCCGAUUGAGCCACCCUUGCCCUCUCGGCCAACCGACCAUAUUACUGCCUAACCACACUCGGACCUUCCACCUCCGACCGGCCCGAUUCCGGGGAUUCCACCUCCAAGCAGAGUUUGUCCCGUGGGCCUAUUUUUGCAAAAAUAAGCGUGAUAUUUGGGGUACCUUCUCACAAGGGGUUAGUUGUGUACCCCUCAGAUUCACCAGUACUCCAACAUCUUAUAAUACUGAGUGGCAAAUUUGUCGAGGUCUGGGAGGAUGUUAUGGGGUGACACAACAACUGGUCGCCGAGUGGAUUGGCGAACGGAUUCGCUCAAGAUGUGACUUGGUUUUGGUUGACGGGGAUGACCCUCUAUCACAAAUUAGUGGAUCUGGAUUGGGCGAACCAGGUGCUGAAAAAACGAGUGGAGUUGGAGACCACUCGUCUACCCUUUGAUCAGAUCCUCUAGGAGCUAGUUAAGCUAAAGGAGGAGGUUGUGGCUCAGGCGGAGCUGCUGCUAAAAUCUGAACAUGUCCUCCUUGAGGAGGAGAGGGUUGUUAGUUGGCCACCAUGAAAAGACUCUAAACCAUCCUGCAGACCUACGAAUCCCGACUCAAGGUAGAGAGCACCCCGAAGGCGCGUGCUUUAUCAGACUCGGACAAGAAAAUUAUCGAGACCAAGACCUUCUCCCUUAAGCUAAAAGGGAUCGAUAUUGCUCACACGAUAGAGAUGGCAAGGAAGGUGGUCAAUCUGGUGGCUAAGUCCAGGUCCAGGAGCAGCAGAAAGCCUUGAAAGCUCAGGGAGCCAAGCUAGAGGCUUUGAAGGCAAAAAUGACUAACUACAUGACCGGAGAGGUUGAGCGCUUUAUGGCAAAGAGAAUAGACUAUCUCCGCUCCACAUAAUUCAACGGGCUCCUAAGCAAGAGGACAGUAAAAAUGUUCUCUUACGGUGCUGAUAGAGCCAUAAACAACUCCGUGAGGUCGGGUACUUGACGAAGGAGCUCCCUGCAAACUUCAUAAGUCGUUCGAAGAUCUUUGAUAACAUCACAGAUGAUACUUUUUCUGAUAUUGCUAAGCUUGCUUUCCAUUGUAACCCUUGUAAUUUUUGAUAAUUUUUGUACUUGGAUUGCUUGCAAUAGAAAUCUUGAAGGACCUUGGUUCUUUACUUUUCCUUUGUUAGAAUUUUUUUCACGAUUGCCGAGCGAGUGACAUUGUGAGUGCCAAGGGAGCGACGAAUGUGCAUGGGGACCACGCUUAUAACUUGGUCAAGAGAUGCGAGUGUCUAGAGAUUUUUACCGAUCGAAAAGUCGUUGGACGCUUGGGGAUCAUGCUUAUAAUUCGAUCGAAAGACGCGAGAGUCUGGAAGUUUUUGCGCGACGCUUGGAGAGCAUGCUUGCAUUUUUACUAAGGGGUGAAAAAAGUACAUGCUACAUCACAUUUUUCCUUAAGAAUGCAGGAAUUCCCUUACGUUUGGUAGAGCGACCGUAGUUAGCGCUCCAUGAUCGAUCUUGCCUCUUGCCGCUGGAAUCUUGAAGGUAGUAGGCCUUAGAGGUGAGCUUUUGAACAAUUUUAUAAGACCUGCUCUAUUGGGGUUCCAGCUUACUACAUCUUCGAUCGGCUUAACUCUUUUCUACACUAAAUCGUCUUCUUGAAAAAAUCGAGGGAUAAUGCGCCGAUCGUAGUUUUGCCUCGUCCUUUGUCAGUAGAAAGUUGCGGUUGUCUUUUCUCUGGUUUCGCUGAUGGAGUCAAGUUUAAGGAGACACUGAUUGGCAUUACCUUGAUCAUACAACAAUCUUCAAGUAGAUUCUUCAUCUACUUCGACAGGAACUACUGCUUCACCACCGUAGACUAAGUGAAAAGGUGUCAUCCUAGUACUCUCCCGCGGGGUGGUUUGGUACGCCCACAAAAUGCUUGAUAUCUCUUCUAUUUAGUUGUCGCCUAGUUUUGAGUUCUCAAAUAAUUUCUCGAUUUAUAAGCCAUUGUUUUGAGGGUGCGUAAUAGAAGUGAAAGCUUGGAGAAUAUCAAAAUCUUCACACCAUUCUCGAAUUUUGUGCCCUUGGAAUUGCUGCCCAUUAUCCAAGAUGAGCUUGUGAGGAAUUCCAAACAGGCAGAGGAUAUUGAUCCAUAGGAACUUGAUGAUUGCAUGCCCGAUGAUUCUUCCAUCCAUUUAAAAAAAGUCCACUACUACGAGUAUAAACUUCUUCUGGGCAGGGGUGGUCGAGAAGGGGCUCACGAUGUCCAUCCUCUACUGAUUAAAAGGGCAAGAGACCAAAGAUAUCUUCAGGGGCUUGGUCGGUUAGUGGGGAUGUUUUGAUAUUUUGAUAGGAAACGCAAGUGACUACCAGCAGAGCGACAUCAACUUUCAAGGUGGGUCAAAAGUAUCCUGUUAAUAAUAUUUUUUCGAGUCAGUGUUCGGCCUCCUACAUGGCUAAUACAGCAGUCUUAAAUCCUAAACUCUUAACCCUAAAUACAGUCGACAUUGUCUAGUUCAAUACACUUGAGUAAUGGAUGAGAGAAAACUCGCUUGUAUAGAUGAUCUCCUAUUAGAGUGAAGUGGUUAGCUCUUCUCUUGAUGUCCCGAUCUUGCUCCGCACUGAUCGAUAAGAUAUCUGGCUGAAGAUACGAAAUUAGUGAAGCUCACCAAUCAAUUGGUUCUUCUAUAUUUGUUUGCAGAUCGAUUUGAGCUAUCAACCCAGGUGGAUAAUGAGCUGGUCAUUUUUGUUAGUUCAUCUGCUUUUUGAUUAUCCAUCCGGAUUAUUUUGUGCAGAGCGACUUCCAGGACAUCAACCUUUAACUUUUCAUAUGCUUCUAUGUAUAUCUUGAGCCGCUCACUGUUGAUUUCAAAUUUUUCUACUAGCUGAUGGAUCGUUAAAUGAGAAUCUGAGUAAGUGGUUACCCGUGUUGCCCCCACAUGUUUGGUUGCUUGAAGCCCUGCUAGCAAGACUUCAUCUUCAACCUCAUUAUUAGAAGCUCGAAAAUUUAACUAAACAGACAAUUAUAUUACAUCUUCGUAGGGAGAUAUUAAUAAAAUUCUCAUGCCACUGUUCUGUUUUAUAGAGGAUCUAUCCACAUAUAUUUUUCACAUGCCCUCAGACUCUAGAUUAUGAACUUCAGUCAGAAAAUCGAUGAGGGUUUGUGCCUUGAUAGUUGUUCGGGGUUGAUAUUGUACGUCAUAUUCACUCAUUUUGUCGUCUAUUUGAUCAAUCUCCCGAAAGUCUGGAUUAAUUAGCACUUUGCCCAAGACACUAUUAGUGAGGACUAUGAUGGGAUGAGUAAGAAACAUAAGGUCGAGAGUAGUAUAUUGGUAUUCAACACCCUUUAAUAGAUGAGUAAGAAAAUACACUGGGUGUUGGACAUUGUUUUCUUGCCUAACCUGAACAAAUUGAACAGCAUCCUCCGUAGUAGACACAGAAACUCAUAGUUGCUCUCCGAUUAUAUGCUUGGAAAGGGAUGACAUCAUUCUAGGUAUAACUUGAGCUUGGCAAGGGAUUUAUCACAAUCUUCACUCCACUAAAAUUUUGUUAUCCGACAAAGUACUU